UACGAAGGGUGCAAGCGUUGUUCGGAUUUAUUGGGCGUAAAGCGCACGUAGGCGGACUCUUAAGUCGGUGGUGAAAUCCUGGAGCUCAACUCCAGAACUGCCUUCGAUACUGAGAGUCUCGAGUCCGAGAGAGGUGAGUGGAACUGCGAGUGUAGAGGUGAAAUUCGUAGAUAUUCGCAAGAACACCAGUGGCGAAGGCGGCUCACUGGCUCGGUACUGACGCUGAGGUGCGAAAGCGUGGGGAGCAAACAGG
rnacentral:rRNA from 1 species